rnacentral:rRNA from 1 species
AGUGAACGCUGGCGGUAGGCCUAACACAUGCAAGUCGAACGGCAGCACAGUAAGAGCUUGCUCUUACGGGUGGCGAGUGGCGGACGGGUGAGGAAUACAUCGGAAUCUGCUUUUUCGUGGGGGAUAACGUAGGGAAACUUACGCUAAUACCGCAUACGACCUACGGGUGAAAGCAGGGGAUCUUCGGACCUUGCGCGAUUGAAUGAGCCGAUGUCGGAUUAGCUAGUUGGCGGGGUAAAGGCCCACCAAGGCGACGAUCCGUAGCUGGUCUGAGAGGAUGAUCAGCCACACUGGAACUGAGACACGGUCCAGACUCCUACGGGAGGCAGCAGUGGGGAAUAUUGGACAAUGGGCGCAAGCCUGAUCCAGCCAUACCGCGUGGGUGAAGAAGGCCUUCGGGUUCUAAAGCCCUUUUGUUGGGAAAGAAAAGCAGCAGGUUAAUACCCCGCUGUUCUGACGGUACCCAAAGAAUAAGCACCGGCUAACUUCGUG